CUAUUGACAUAGGUUCAAUGUCUCAGUAAUGUGUUUACUGCUGUUUGGAUAGCAACACGUCCUUAAAGGGACGGCAGUCUUUUUAAAAACACGGGCUUGUCUAGGAUGUCAAAACGUAGUGCGGGCGAGGUGAGGUGGUGGGGUGCUGCCUUGUGUUUAGUGAAACAAGGAGUGAAGAGACCGGAGUCUUCUCAUGGUUUAUUUUAAUUUUCACCUGACGACAUCACAACUCCAAAUGAAGACAUCGCAACAGAGGGACCAUCACUGCGAACAAUCUGUACUUUCUUUCUCUUGUUUAAUAAUUAAAAAAACAGUAUUGUUUUA